rnacentral:tRNA from 1 species
GCCUGGGUGGCUCAGUCGGUUAAGUGUCUGACUUCAGCUCAGGUCAUGAUCUCAGGGUUCGUGGGUUCGAGCCCUACGUCGGGCU